rnacentral:rRNA from 1 species
CGAACAGAUAAGGAGCUUGCUCCUUUGACGUUAGCGGCGGACGGGUGAGUAACACGUGGGUAACCUACCUAUAAGACUGGGAUAACUUCGGGAAACCGGAGCUAAUACCGGAUAACAUUUGGAACCGCAUGGUUCUAAAGUGAAAGAUGGUUUUGCUAUCACUUAUAGAUGGACCCGCGCCGUAUUAGCUAGUUGGUAAGGUAACGGCUUACCAAGGCGACGAUACGUAGCCGACCUGAGAGGGUGAUCGGCCACACUGGAACUGAGACACGGUCCAGACUCCUACGGGAGGCAGCAGUAGGGAAUCUUCCGCAAUGGGCGAAAGCCUGACGGAGCAACGCCGCGUGAGUGAUGAAGGGUUUCGGCUCGUAAAACUCUGUUAUUAGGGAAGAACAAAUGUGUAAGUAACUGUGCACGUCUUGACGGUACCUAAUCAGAAAGCCACGGCUAACUACGUGCCAGCAGCCGCGGUAAUACGUAGGUGGCAAGCGUUAUCCGGAAUUAUUGGGCGUAAAGCGCGCGUAGGCGGUUUCUUAAGUCUGAUGUGAAAGCCCACGGCUCAACCGUGGAGGGUCAUUGGAAACUGGGAAACUUGAGUGCAGAAGAGGAAAGUGGAAUUCCAUGUGUAGCGGUGAAAUGCGCAGAGAUAUGGAGGAACACCAGUGGCGAAGGCGACUUUCUGGUCUGUAACUGACGCUGAUGUGCGAAAGCGUGGGGAUCAAACAGGAUUAGAUACCCUGGUAGUCCACGCCGUAAACGAUGAGUGCUAAGUGUUAGGGGGUUUCCGCCCCUUAGUGCUGCAGCUAACGCAUUAAGCACUCCGCCUGGGGAGUACGACCGCAAGGUUGAAACUCAAAGGAAUUGACGGGGACCCGCACAAGCGGUGGAGCAUGUGGUUUAAUUCGAAGCAACGCGAAGAACCUUACCAAAUCUUGACAUCCUUUGAAAACUCUAGAGAUAGAGCUUUCCCCUUCGGGGGACAAAGUGACAGGUGGUGCAUGGUUGUCGUCAGCUCGUGUCGUGAGAUGUUGGGUUAAGUCCCGCAACGAGCGCAACCCUUAAGCUUAGUUGCCAUCAUUAAGUUGGGCACUCUAGGUUGACUGCCGGUGACAAACCGGAGGAAGGUGGGGAUGACGUCAAAUCAUCAUGCCCCUUAUGAUUUGGGCUACACACGUGCUACAAUGGACAAUACAAAGGGCAGCUAAACCGCGAGGUCAUGCAAAUCCCAUAAAGUUGUUCUCAGUUCGGAUUGUAGUCUGCAACUCGACUACAUGAAGCUGGAAUCGCUAGUAAUCGUAGAUCAGCAUGCUACGGUGAAUACGUUCCCGGGUCUUGUACACACCGCCCGUCACACCACGAGAGUUUGUAACACCCGAAG